rnacentral:rRNA from 1 species
AGAGUUUGAUCAUGGCUCAGGAUGAACGCUGGCGGCGUGCUUAACACAUGCAAGUCGAACGAAUUCUAUCGAAACGGAGGCUUCGGCCAAAGGGAGACUGAAGUGAGUGGCGGACGGGUGAGUAACGCGUGGGUAACCUGCCUUACACCGGGGGAUAACAGAGGGAAACUUCUGCUAAUACCGCAUAAGACCACGGUACCGCAUGGUACAGAGGUAAAAGUUCCGGCGAUGUAAGAUGGACCCGCGUCUGAUUAGCCAGUUGGCGGGGUAACGGCCCACCAAAGCGACGAUCAGUAGCCGACCUGAGAGGGUGAUCGGCCACAUUGGGACUGAGACACGGCCCAAACUCCUACGGGAGGCAGCAGUGGGGAAUAUUGGGCAAUGGGCGAAAGCCUGAACCCCAGCGACGCCGCGUGAGUGAAGAAGUAUUUCGGUAUGUAAAGCUCUUUAAGCAGGGAAGAUAAUGACGGUACCUGCAGAAUAAGCACCGGCUAAAUACGUGCCAGCAGCCGC